rnacentral:rRNA from 1 species
CAGUCGCCGCGGUAAUACGUAGGUGGCAAGCGUUGUCCGGAAUUAUUGGGCGCAAAGGGCUCGCAGGCGGUUUCUUAAGUCUGAUGUGAAAGCCCCCGGCUCAACCGGGGAGGGUCAUUGGAAACUGGGAAACUUGAGUGCAGAAGAGGAGAGUGGAAUUCCACGUGUAGCGGUGAAAUGCGUAGAGAUGUGGAGGAACACCAGUGGCGAAGGCGACUCUCUGGUCUGUAACUGACGCUGAGGAGCGAAAGCGUGGGGAGCGAACAGGAUUAGAUACCCCGGUAGUCCCUGUCUCUUAUAC